rnacentral:misc_RNA from 1 species
GAUGAAGAACGCAGCGAAAUGCGAUAAGUAGUGUGAAUUGCAGAAUUCAGUGAAUCAUCGAAUCUUUGAACGCACAUUGCGCCCUUUGGUAUUCCUUAGGGCAUGCCUGUUCGAGCGUCAUUUAAACCUUCAAGCUAAGCUUGGUGUUGGGUGACUGUCCGCUUCACUGCGGACUCGCCUCAAAAUUAUUGGCGGUCGGUACAUUGGCUUCGAGCGCAGCAGAAACGCGAACUCGGGCCCGUCGUAUUGGCUCCCAGAAGCUAUCUUCACAAUUUUGACCUCGGAUCAGGUAGGGAUACCCGCUGAACUUAAGCAUAUCAAUAAGCGGAGGA